UGUGUGUGUGUGUGUGUACCUGUUACUGCAUGUAUGUGAAGGUCAGAGGAAAACUUCUGUAAGGUGGGCCUCUCCUUCUCCCAUGUGAGUUCUGGGGAUUGAAGUCAGGUGGACAAGGUAAAGUGUUCUCCAAGACCCAGGCUCUUCCAUAAUGAGAACAAACUGGAGGCUCUUGAGAGGACUUAAAAGAUACCUCAUGAAGAAGAUAUCAGCCAAGUCAACUAUAGAUGAUGGAAAACCUUCGUCCCAUGGAGGCUCUGACAACAAAGAUGCCACAAGAUGGGACUUCUGCUAGAACACUUGCUUGCCUGAGCAUGUGCAUCAAGCCCUGGGUUCCUUCCUAGCACCACAAAAUUAAAAAAUAAACAGGACAGCGUC
rnacentral:lncRNA from 1 species